UAGAAUGUGGUGUAAUGGAAACACAGAGGAUUUUGAGUUCUCUGAUAUGGGUUCGAGUCCUAUUGUUCUAGA
ensembl:Mt_tRNA